rnacentral:rRNA from 1 species
GACGAACGCUGGCGGCGUGCUUAACACAUGCAAGUCGAACGGAAAGGCCUCUUUCGGGGGGUACUCGAGUGGCGAACGGGUGAGUAACACGUGAGUAACCUGCCCUUGACUUUGGGAUAACUUCAGGAAACUGGGGCUAAUACCGGAUAGGAGCUCCUGCUGCAUGGUGGGGGUUGGAAAGUUUCGGCGGUUGGGGAUGGACUCGCGGCUUAUCAGCUUGUUGGUGGGGUAGUGGCUUACCAAGGCUUUGACGGGUAGCCGGCCUGAGAGGGUGACUGGCCACAUUGGGACUGAGAUACGGCCCAGACUCCUACGGGAGGCAGCGGUGGGGAAUAUUGCACAAUGGGUGGAAGCCUGAUGCAGCAACGCCGUGUGCGGGAUGACGGCCUUCGGGUUGUAAACCGCUUUCGCUCAUGACGAAGCUUUGUGUGACGGUAGUGGGUAAAGAAGCACCGGCUAACUACGUG